GCCCUGGCAUGGCUGAAGGGUGAUUGGCGAAAGUGUUCUCCUUUGGAGAAAAGACUUUUUGUGCUCGUGACGCAGUCAGGGACGGAUUAUUGAAUAUGCAAGUUAGAAGAAAAAUCACAGGACAAGCAAAUUGAGUAUUUACUGGCAAAUAAUUGCUCUCUUAAGCUGUGGCUCUCUUCCUAAAUUCUUAACAUUCCCGAGGGUUAGAAAGAAACACAGAAAAAUGCAUCGGUACAGAGUACAUUUCAAAAAAAAUACAUAGACUGAUGUUUCAGACUUGUGCAGAAUGUUUAACCAUCACUAACUGGAUACUUCUCACAACAUUGCUGUCUGGUAGGGGGAAGAACAGAAGAGUUCUGUCUCAGCCAGAAUUUGGAAGGAAGAGACUAACUCAUCAGAGAGAGCAGUGGCUGGCACUUUUCCUCCACGCUUUGAGACAAAGAGAAUUGGCUGGAAUAAAACCUUGCUUUCCAUAUGGUCGACUUGAAUGAAAUACAGCAUUGAAAAGGCAGACACCAGCUUUGUGAACCAACCCUUUGCAGUCAAUGAGCCUG
rnacentral:lncRNA from 1 species